rnacentral:rRNA from 1 species
AACGAACGCUGGCGGCAUGCCUAACACAUGCAAGUCGAACGAGAUCUUCGGGUCUAGUGGCGCACGGGUGCGUAACGCGUGGGAAUCUGCCCUUUGGUUCGGAAUAACAGUUGGAAACGACUGCUGAUACCGGAUGAUGACGAAAGUCCAAAGAUUUAUCGCCAGAGGAUGAGCCCGCGUAGGAUUAGCUAGUUGGUGUGGUAAAGGCGCACCAAGGCGACGAUCCUUAGCUGGUCUGAGAGGAUGAUCAGCCACACUGGGACUGAGACACGGCCCAGACUCCUACGGGAGGCAGCAGUGGGGAAUAUUGGACAAUGGGCGAAAGCCUGAUCCAGCAAUGCCGCGUGAGUGAUGAAGGCCUUAGGGUUGUAAAGCUCUUUUACCCGGGAUGAUAAUGACAGUACCGGGAGAAUAAGCUCCGGCUAACUCCGUGCCAGCCGCCGCCGCGG